GUUUACAAUAGCCAGGACAUGGAAACAACCUAAAUGUCCAUCAGCAAAGGAAUGGAUAAAGAAGAUGUGGUACAUAUAUACAAUGGAAUAUUAUUCAGCCAUAAAAAGGAAAGAAAUUGGGUCACUGGAGAGACAUGGAUGGACAUAGAGACUGUCAUACAGAGCAAAGGCCAAGAACCAAAGUGGACGCAGGCAACUCUGUCAGCUGCAGAGUCAGUUACCUGGACCCCAGCAUUGCAGGAGGUGCUCUAGAGAGAGAAAGAGAAUGGCUUUGGGGUCUGACAAUCUCAGCCUUGCUGCCAAUUUGCUUUAUGACUGUGAGGAAAUGCCCCAGAGUUUCAUUCCUAGACAAGACAGAGGCCCGGUGACCUCAGAGUCACCAGGUUUAACAAGAUGCAAGCGGCACACCUGAGACAACGAAUGCUGAUUCUGUUGCCAAAGUUGAUUCUUGCAUGUUCAUCUCUGACAGAAUUUUCGUGCUAUGUAGAAAGACCACCACAAGCAAAAGAUUCCCCAAGUGGUCUUUUCCUAAAAGCAGUGAUUGGAGGUUAUGGGAACAGUGUGAAGGAAGACAAGAAUGUUGAAGUUCAUCUUCAGGAAAAAAACAAAACAAAACAAGGACAGAUGCUUAAUAUUUCAUGCCUUAUAGGAUAUCAUAAACUAGAAGCCAGACACUAUGACAGUAAGAUAGUAAAAAUCUUAAUAAAUUUUGUAGACAGCCCACAUUUAUUCAUUUUGCUAUCACCUUUUAAUUUCUCCACAAUGAUUCACAUUUAAGCCCUUAAAACAUGAAAAGAAAGUGGUCUCUUGGGAGAACAAGAAGAAAGAAUGGAGUCAGAGAUAUUACAUCUUUCCAUUUCAACAGCCAGGCAUGGAGGAGAGUGAUCUUUUGGGAUUGAGUCAUUUACAUGGAGGAGGAGAGAAGGAAAUGAGUCAUCACAGUCUGUGAAACAGAAAGAAAAGAAAGAAAAGGAACCAAGGAAUAACAAGGCUCAUCCCAUAUCUUCCUGGAGUAUAUACUUGACUUAGAACAUGAACUUUCAAUCAGCAGUCAUUUGAAACUGUCUUAUAAUGAGUUACACAGUUCUCUAAGAAAACCACAAGACAAAAUGAAUGGCACUUUUCAUUAUUUUGAGAAGGAGCAAAGGAACAAGACAGCUUGAGCCAAGACAACUCAUUACACCAAGAGCACAUAAGACGCACAGACCAAAGCGUCUUCUGAUCCUUUCUACAAUACUCUCUUGCUUUGUGAAAGUUAACUCCUUUGGCUUUCUGAAGGAUUCUUCAGUAGACAAUUUAUUCAAAGAAAAAUGGGUAUGUUUCCAAAACAGAGAUAUGGAGAUAAGGACACUUCAAAUAAGAUGGAGCCCAGGGGCAACUCAAACCUUACCCCACACCUACUUUUAUUCUGCGUGGGAAUAAAAAUGUGGGCAAAGACAAGAAGUUCAUCAAAGGACAACACUGACCUUGAAUUUCUACCAAAGAAGACGAUCAGGGUUCAAAACCUGAAGAAAUUUCACACUCUUAGAGCCAUACCUUUUUUUUUUUUGGAAAUUAAGGAUUUCAAAUGGAAAAGAGGAAAGAUCUUAUCACUGUGGGUAGAAACUAAGUAAAUGUAUUUUUCACAUUUAAAGUACAUGAGUAAGACUUUUGUCAAAUCAAGAUACGUCUCGAUGAAGAAUCACAAGGAGAAAUGUGAAGAGAAACGAGGAAAAAAUUUUUUUAAAGUAUAUGUUUUCUGACAUAAGGGCAAACAAAAUACAGAUGAUUGUUUCAUAUAAGAAGAAAAAGGAAACAAUGAAAAUGAAGCCUCUUUCCUGUGACUGUAAAGCUGAAAAAGACAAAUUUGGGGAUAGUGACGAAUAAAAAAGAGUGACGGAAUCCAGUGGCCAGUGAAUGGUAAUCGCACUUAUCCUAAAGGAAUGUCUGGAAAAAUGUUUCCAGUGGAAGCUGGUGCAUGGCUGGUACCCUGAUGAAAAUGAAAGUGGGGCGCCCCAGCCAGCCAAGGGAGGAGGAUGAGAGGGAACGUUCCGGUGGCCAGGACAGAUGAUAAAAGCUGAGCAGCCACAACCAGUGCCAGAUCUGGGACAGUCUGGAGGGAGAGGACGCCAAGGUGGAGUCCGAGCUGUCGAAGCUCAUACUGCUCGCCCCACGACGGGCAAAUAAAUUGAGAGGUGAGUUGUUGGGACAAGGAAUAUCGACUUUAUUCAGAAAGUCAGCAGAUGGAGAACGUGGUGGACUCGUGUCCCAAAGAAUCAUCUUGCCUGAGUCAGAAUUCAGGCUUCUUUUAUACUAAAACGAGAGGAAAUAAAGUCAAGCAUUUCCUGGUUCUGGUCAGCCUCUGGAGGAGAUGUGUUCAUUUCUUCCUCCCUGCAGUUAUUCACAGACAAACAAAGAUGGAAAACAUACUGUUUGUGUUCUCAAGAAAUUUACAAUCUAAUGAUGGGGGUCGAAUGCCCAGAAUGCUGGAAGACAGGCAGAA